UGUGUCUGUCAGACUGGCCUUGGCAGCAAAGAAAGGCCAUAUGGUGCCCAUCCAUAUGGAUAGGCUGGCUGGAUUUUAGAAUCUUAUUCCCUACUGAUGUUCCUGUUGUGUGAACAGAAUAACUUCUAUUUAAGAGUAAAACAUGGCCGGGCGCGGUGGCUCACGCCUGUAAUCCCAGCACUUUGGGAGGCCGAGGCGGGCGGAUCACGAGGUCAGGAGAUCGAGACCAUCCUGGCUAACACGGUGAGACCCCGUCUCUACUAACAAUACAAAAAAUUAGCCGGGCGUGGUAGCGGGCGCCUGUAGUCCCAGCUACUCGGGAGGCUGAGGCAGGAGAAUGGCGUGAACCCGGGAGGCGGAGCUUGCAGUGAGCCGAGAUCGCGCCACUGCACUCCAGCCUGGGCGACAGAGCGAGACUCCGUCUCAAAAAAAAAAAAAAAAAAAAAAGAGUAAAACAUGUGGGAUUCCAGCCUUGCAUAUUGUAUCAGUUAGAAAAUGUGCUCAAUUGUGAGGAGCAGAGACCUGAAAACAGGGCUUAAACACACUAGAUGUGGUACAGGGGCUCUGCAACCUCAUUGUAGACUUUCCAUCCCUCUUCUCUGACAUCUUUGAGUUGUGACUUCUUUCCUCAAGGCUGCCUCAUACAUAUAAAGUGGCUACUAGAACUCCAAACGGCAUUUUCUCAUUCCUAGUAGAAAGAAGGGAAAACACAAGGAACAAAAGGAGCAUGCCAGCUGAGUCAUUGCCUAUUUUUAAGGAGCAUUACCAGAAGACACACCCAACAAUUUAUGUUUGCAUCUCAUUGGCUAGGAUUUAGUCUUAUGCACCUCUCAUCUUCUAGGAAUCCUGGGAAAUCUAGUAUAUUUUAGGAAAAGAAGAUUUGGUGUCUACACUGCUAGUACUCCAGUUCAGCUUUCGCUGACCAUGACUCUAUUUGGCUAACUGCACAGAUUUGCUGAUAGCUCACCAGUUAUCAGCUACUCUGCUAAAUGAAUAGAAUGAACCAGACACAGUCUUCACGCUGUGGCAGCUCUCAGUCUAAUGUAAGGGAGGCAAGCAAGUGAACCAGACAGAACAACACUGUGCGAUGAGCAUCAAACAUGUUGAAAGAACAUGACAGAAGCAUAUGCUCAUUCAAAGGAGGAGCCGGAGCUUCUAGUAAAAGCCAACAGAGAGGGGCAGCUGGAAAGAGGAGAAGAGGAUUAGAAGAGCUUUUCCUCAGUGGCAUUUUUGAGACUUCAAAAUGCUCUUAGAAGCUACUUGACAACAAAAUCAGUUGAUCCCAUUGUUGCAGCUCAGAAUUCUGUUUCAGUAUAUCGCAGCUGAGUAAGGAAGCUAAGGCGCUGGAGUGGUAUUAAUGCAUCACCCAUGGAUAUGUCCAAAAGCUCUUAAUUAUAGCACCUUAAAGAAGUCUUACAAAAAUCCUCCAGCCUUCCACAAGACCUGGGUCUCCUGGGGCCAGGACCACCAAAGAGAAAAUAAAAUCCCAGAUCUCUGAGGGUCUCACCAAGUUGUAUUUCUGGAACUUCAUCUCACUCCACUUCCAUCCACCCACCCCUACUCUAAUUUCAAGCCCCCUUUAUGGUGGAAGUGUGUGUAGAGAUCCUUUUCCCAUCCUCAUGGGGCGUGGAUGGCUCCCUGUUGUGCUGCUACAGUUUCUGGUCUCAUUCCUUUGAUGCAACCACCAGUGCCAAGCUUUGAACAUUAACACCUGUGACCCACCGCUGCCUCCACUGAGGGGUCAGAUGCUGCCCCGCAGCUGGAGAGGAGGAGGAAAAAGAGGUGGAAUGUGAGAGGAAGCAUCCUUUCUCCCUCUCUUCCUGCUAUGGUUAAUUGUAUGUGUCAAGUUGUCUAGGUCAUGAUACCUAGUUGUUCGUCCCCUCCAAAUCACGUGUUGAAAUGUAAUGCCCUGGUGGGAGGCGUUUGGAUCACGGGGACAGAUCCCUCAUGAAUGGCUCAGCACCAUCCCCUUGGUGAUGAGUGAGUUCUCACUCUGGCAGUUCACAAGAGAUCUGGUUGUUUAAAAGAGUAUGUCACCUCCCCCAGCCCUUGCUCCCUCUCUUGCCUUGUGAUACACUGGCUCCUCUUCACCUUCCACCAUGAUUGGAAGCUUCUUGAGGCCCCUAUCAGAAGCAGUUGCCAGCACCAUUCUUCCUGCACAGCCUGCAGAACUGUGAGCUAAAAUAAACCUUUUCUU